CACCCACCACCUAGACUGUCCCUUGGCGUCCCCGGCUCAGAAGCCGGGCCGGACCCCGCAGCAGGCCCAGAGUCAGGCAGGAGGGGGCGGCGGUCGGGAGGCUUCAUUUCAGCAUGAGGACGCGCACGAACUCCUUGUAGCUCACCUGCCCGUCCCAGUCCACGUCAGCUUCCCGGAUCAUGAUGUCCAACUCCUCCUGGGACACCUCCAGCUGGGCCAUGGCCUGCUUGAGCUCAUCCAUGCUGAUGUGGCCGUCGCCAUCCAGGUCGAAGGCGUGGAAGGCUGUCCUCAGGUCAUCCGCUCUGACCCGAACCCCCUUGGCUAUCACUGCCAGGAACUCCUGGGAGCUGAUGACACCAUCCCCGUCCGCAUCGUCCCUGGCGAUGAACCCCUUCAGCGCGGCCUCCGACGGGUUCAGGCCCCGCUCCUGCAUCACGGCGCCCAGCUCCUGGGUGCUGAUGGCACUGUCUUUGUCCUUGUCGAAUCUGUGGAAGGUCUCCAUGAACUCGGCUGCCUGCUCUUUGGACAGCUGCUCAGCCAUGUCUCUCGCACCUUCUACAGAGCUUGCUGCCAACCCGCCCAAGGGGCUCACGUCAGAGCUGGGACAAGCGGUGGGACCGAGGCUGUGUCGGCGUGAGGACAGAGCUCCAGCGGCAGCCUUGCCACAGGAUGGGAACCCCUCCUUUGCUGAAAAUCCGAGCAAAGUGAGCAAGAAGACUCCUUCCCCACCCCACGUCCUAGGGUGAAAUCCUCCUCCCAGGGAGGGACAGCAGAGAAAUGCAGGAACUGGAGCGGCCGGUCUGCCCAGGAGAGGUGGCAGGCACCCCGGGCCUCACCUACUCCCGAUGGCCAACCACGGCACCCCAGAGGCUUUUGCCCAUGUGACUCCCACAGGGACCCUGGCCAAGCUGGGGAGGGGGGCUCAAGAGGGCUUUCCCAAUUUUAGAGACGGGUGGGAAGGGGAGAGGAGCCUCCCUCAGUGGACAUGGCAGACACUGGAGGAGUGGAAGGGCUGUGUCCAGCGUUCCUGUGCUCUCUCGGGGCUGCUGGCCAGCUCUCAUCCUAUGGGGCGGGGCUGGUGGAGGGCAGAUAGUGGUAGAAUUGAGUGGGAUUCUCCCAGAAUGGCACUGCGGGCGUCAUCGCCCUCCAGCCCAGUGUGGCUGGCAGAUCUUUAGGUGGGGAUGCGGCUGCCUGCCUUUUUGCUUCGGGAAAGCGGGGAGCCAGUUGCACGCAGAGCCUGGUGCACAGGUGGUGCUGAGAGUUGUUUAUUAGCUGAAUGUUCAAAGUGUGAUUUCAGAGCUGAGGAGAAGGCUUCCUGUCCCUGCAGAAUACUCCUCCUUUAGCUCCCUAGUUUCUCUGAUUCCGUUCUAUUAAGACUAGGGUUCUCUACAGAGACACCAGGAAGGAGGGGACCCUUCAUUUACGAUCUCAGAGGGGUCCUGCCUGGGAGCUGCGGGAAGACUGGAAAGCACUGGGCUGGAGUAGGCAGCCCCUGAAGAUGCCAGGGGGUAGGAGGAUGUAGAAUCGGGUGGCUGAAGCUGUGAACUUGGCCUGGCUCGUGGGUUUACUAAGUCAGCCCCAAGCACAGAAACCCGUUUAGGAAGCUCCCUGGACCCACGGUCUUACCUGUUUCAUCUCUGCCCACUGCUCUGUGUAGCAGAGUUUAGAUCAAGAGCUCGGGCCGUGGGGACCCUGCAGGAGGAGGGGCAUCCCCUUCCUGGAGGAUGUUGAGUCCCCUGCAGCUGUGACAGGACGGGUGACCCCCUCCAGGGCGGCUGGGCCAGUAGAGAUGGCGGGUGAUCGGGCUGCCCUCCCAGGAGCCCUGCUGGGCCCGCACCCUGAACACAGGGCUCCCACCGAGGCCACAGAGCAGGUGGUUGAUCACUGCCUUUGGACCCAGGAAGCUGUGGGUACGGGGCUGGCUCCCCGCAAGGCUGGGGCAGGUAACUUCGCCUCCCCUGUGGUAGAUGUCGGGUCCUGUUUCCCACCAGCCAUCUCAUGGUUCCCAAACUCACCCACCCUUAUUGUUAUCCCGCGUCUGAGCACCACCGCCCUGGGUCCCUUGAGCAUCUUGCUUCCAAAGCCUGUACAUAAGCCACAGAUACGUUUCCAGGUCUCUUCUUGGACAGAUGUUUAAUUAUUAAAACCAUCUACAUAUUUGCAGUGAUUAUCCAUCACUGCAGUUUUCCCAACCGCCGUGGUUCACGAUCUCACCAAUCCAGACGCCCUUUACCUCUCACCCCUAACUCGAAUCUCAGCCUUCUUUUUCCUCUGAUGGGAUUCACUCCUACACCCACCUCCUCUCGUAACUCUUUUACAUUCUAAGAAGUGGCCCUGAGGCUUUUGUCUUAUCUACACAGCUGGUGUGUCUCCUUUCCAUCCUCCCUCAUCAUAAGACCCUAGGAGCCCUUUCUAUGCCACCAUAGCUGUGGUCUCUCUGCCACAAUCCUGUCCAGCCAACAAGUUUCCUAGAAACAGAAUGUGUUUCUCAUACUGCUUCUUUCUUUAGGGAAAUUGCUCUUUCCUCCUCUGGAGCCUCGUACCAGCUUUAACUGGUCGACAGUGAGGGAGAGCUCUGUACACGAUACAACACGGCCCCUGGUAUUCUGCCACCCUCGGUGAUGGGUUGAUGAGGACCUUUUGCAUCUGUGUUCAGUGAUGUCAUUUGUCACCAGCUUUACCCUUUCCUUGGACAUCCAUCCCCGCCUGUCAACACCUCAUUGCCUAACUGCCUAACCAUAGCCACGCCUAUGCCUCUGCCCCAUUUAUCUGGGGGAGAGGGUGACGUUCAUAUUCACACCUGAGCUCCUGUGUGCCAGGUGCCAUGCAAAGGGCUCUAAAGGGUGAUCUCAUCUUGUCCUCACUGUUUAUUCCUAUGUUCCAGGUGAAGCAACUGAGGCUCAGAGAAGUCACAAAACAGGUUCAUGGAAGAGCCGGGAAUUUGCAUCUGGGUUUGCCUGACUGCAGAGCCCAACCCCUUCUGUCCCGCAUCACGCAUCACGGCACAGCUCAGCUUCUGAUAACCGACCUUCACACGCCAGCCGCUGAGGACAGCCAGGCCCUGCCCCCGCAGCCCUUGGAGCCCUGGUGAGAGCUGGCAGCCAGGCUCGACCACUCCAUCAACACCUGACUGCAUGAACCGUGGCAAAGCACGGGCACAGCUCUGCUCAGGGGCCUGGCUUUGCUCUGGUAGAAGGGCGGGGGCUGUGGAUUGAUGGUAAGACCACAGACGAGCCUGAAGGAGAUGUGUUUCAAUCCCCGCUCUCUGCCUCUCACCAAGUACCUGGCUGGGCGGCACAGCCCAGAUGAUGCUGGUUACCUGAUUUGAGUCAGUUUUACAGUUUAAAUUAGCUAACUGGGUCGAUGGAUUUGGUACACAGGCGGUUCUCAGGACUCCUCUAGGAAGCCCUUGGAAACAAUUUUACCGAGAACGCCCUCAUUUUGCAAUAUCCUUUCAGCAUCACCUGCCGCCGUCAGUAUUCAUUAAGUCUACCACUGUUCUCCUAUCUUCCGGAACAUUGUGUGACAAGCUGCCCUCUCAUUCUAGCUUGACCUCCUAUCUUGAGACCGUCGUCUCUGGCUCCGCCGAUUCCUUUGAACUUGAGGUUUUUCCCCUAAUUUUAUUCCAAUUUCUUCACCCGUGUUAGUAAUGGCUGUGCUUGCUGAACAGGUGGAAACAAUGCAGGUGUUUUGAAGAGGUCUAGCCUUUAACUCUCCUUUCAUAGCUUUCUUCACUUUUUAAAAGCAUGCCUGACCACUUUCUGGCAUCUUGAAAAGAGAGCGGAGCUUUUUCUCCUUCCUUGGUCCUCCGUUUUAUUAUAAUUUUAACAUCCUUCUGUUCUGUCCUGGCCGGAGUUCUCCUUGUCCUGCUCUCCACGCCCUCCCCCAGAUCCUGGCUUGACUCGCCUGCUUGAUUCCACAGCGCGCAGGAUCAGAAAAGGCAGGUGUUUGCUGUUACGUGAUUCUCUCUCUUUUUCUUGUUCGUAGAGCCUGUCAUUUAUACUGGCCCAUUUCCCUUGGAGUAUAUUCCAAGCUGUUAUCAUUUACAGUGAAA